CUCAUUUUUGUGCUGCAUAUUGUGUGUUUAUCUAUUCUCAUUUUGAUAAUUUUGUACAUUUUACAGUCUUUCAUUUGCUUAACUCCUUUCACUUUGUACCUUGCAGACCACUGGGAGCUUCAGCUCUUAAGAAUCCUUCAGUAUUUCUCAAAAUGCAAAGACUACAAUGAUUCCAGACCCAAAGAUUGAAGGAACCAGCUGUAACACCACUUUGAACACAACCUACUAAGUAUUGCUUGUCAGAACUGAUUAGUUUGCAGAAUGCAGACGAGAUGUUUAGAAGCUCAAUCUAUAUAUAUAAAAAUGAGAAUGUGUGUGUGUGUGUGUGUGUGAAUCCCUAAAACUCGAGAACUACGCAACCAAUUUCAUUCAAAUUUUACAGAUGCCUUACUUAGGGUUCCAGUUGUGUUUUAGUCAAAAAACAUUUUUAACUUCUUGCAGAGUUCAAGCCCACGGCAACAUAAUAUCUCCUCCACUAUUUAAGUAUUACGUGUCAAAAGUGAAACAAAAACACUCAUGUCAAAUACUUUCACUUUAAAAAUGAAACUAUUCCACUAACUGAAACAAUCACAUUUCAAUACUGUAAUGACAGAUACUUUCAGAGAGAGAGAGAAAGAGAGAAAGAGAGAGAGAGAUGUAUAUGUAUACAUAUAGAUGUAUAUGUACACAUUAUUCCACUAACUGAAACAAUCACAUUUCUAUACUGUAAUGACAGAUACUUUCAGAAAGAGAGAGAAAGAGAUGUAUAUGUAUACAUAUACAUGUAUAU